rnacentral:lncRNA from 1 species
GAUAUCAACAUUAUGAAGUACCAUAUGCUUUUUAAGUAUUACAAUGUGUGUGUGUUUUCUUGUGUGAAAGAAACGUUCAGUACUUAGACAUCCCUCUUCUACUGUAAUAUAAGGUGUGUGAUACCUUCAGCUGAAUCAGGUAGGCCCAUGUGCUGUCUGAGCUCCCUAUCACAGCAUGACAAAGAUGUUAGUUGACAGUAAUUGCUGUUAAGGUUGUUCUACUAUUCCCCCUGUAGCCUCCACACAAUAUGAUCAGAGCUGAUUCUGUCGGCUACAACAAACCAUCAAUCCACCAAACUAUUUUGUGUUCUCUAUUUUGUAUUUUCUGACACUGCGUCAACACCGAAAAGGGCUGACAAAAUUGAACAACUAAUUUUGGCGGCUUAAACGGAGGGUGGUUUUAAAACAGCCACCGUAGAAAGAGACGUUUUAAUGGCCCUUUGUUUCUUAAUUACAGAUUGUAAUUGAAUAUAAUGUGAUAUCUCCUCUGUUGCCUUUAGCAGCGUGCCCUCGCUACAAUAGAGUAAUCCUUACACCCACCAGCUCAUUCAGGGCUCCUGACAGUGAGCAGUGGUUCUCAGCCAACCCCAAAAGGAGAAAUGGAGAAUGGAGAAUCGUUUGGCUUUGGCUGGGGAAAAGAGACAGCCCUUACAGAAUUACCCACCAACAAAGGACCAAGCAGCGGAAGAAGGCUGGCGAGGUAAGGGAGACCGGGAGGCACCCCCAAGAAAUUUUUAGGGGGGGGCACAAGGGGAGUUUUGCGGGGCAAGAAUGGAGCCCCAGGCCAGCUCCCCGCACUAGCAUGGAGGUGCGUAUUCGCAAUCUGGUACGCCCAAUACCAGCACCACGCACCAGGAGUCUAGUGUGUCAACCCAGCCUCGCCAGUCAACAGUCGUCAUCAGAGCUGCCCGCCAGUCAACAGUCGUCAUCAGAGCUGCCCGCCUGAACUGCCGGAGUGGCCAGACUGCGCUGAACUGCCGGAGUGGCCAGACUGCCCUGAACUGCCGGAGUGGCCAGACUGCCCUGAACUGCCGGAGUGGCCAGACUGCCCUGAACUGCCGG